UUAUCUGGGCUGCGAGCAGAAUGAAAGAGGAAACUAAACAUCAAGAAUCCAAAUUAGUCUUUUGAAGAGUACGAUCCACUCUCUAUAAAGGCAUGGGACACUUCAAAAUAAGAAAAAACAAACAUUGCCAUACAUCACAAAACAGUAGAGCAUUAUUGUCCUCUUGCUCGACGUAAAAGAGUGUUUGGAGCCUCCUUCUCGAUAGGUCUUUCAAUCAUUCUCAAUUUGACUGGCUGUUUAAAAUUGCAGCUCUUGGAUUACUAAUGAGGCACCUGGAUGAUUCUCUACAUACCUGUUUUCCGGACACUGCCUUGAUGAUGGGACUAAAAUGCUGCUUAAAUACAGAGCAGAUGCCAACUGGGAGAGGAAAAUUCUGCCAGUGGCAAACUGUGAGUGGACCAGGACUGCCUUAUCUUCCAAGAACACAGGGGUAGGGGUGUCUAUCUACUUGCUUGAAGCUCUAGACAUCUGUUAACAUUAUUUUUAUCCAACUUUCCUUUGCCUUAAAAUGCAACCUUUUUCUCUAUUUGAAAGAGAUGUUUAAAUCUUUAUAAAAUCAAUAGUUUCUGAAUUCAAAAAUGUUUAAUUCACAAUACGAGUUGGUUACUUAAUUCCAUUAUGCAAACUAUUACUGAUGUCAUCCCAUAUUGCAAAACAUUUGUG